UGCGUAGGUGGUCGUUUAAGUCUGUUGUGAAAGCCCUGGGCUCAACCUGAGAACUGCAGUGGAAACUGGACGACUAGAGUGUGGUAGAGGGUAGCGGAAUUCCUGGUGUAGCAGUGAAAUGCGUAGAGAUCAGGAGGAACAUCCAUGGCGAAGGCAGCUACCUGGACCAACACUGACACUGAGGCACGAAAGCGUGGGGAGCAAACA
rnacentral:rRNA from 1 species